CUGGGAUGAUGCAAAUUAGCCAAAUCAUAUUUGAUGUGCUCCAUGAGGCAUUCAGUUUCCUCUAGC